UACAGAGGUCCCAAGCGUUUGUUCGGAUUCACUGGGCGUAAAGGGUGCGUAGGUGGCGGGGUAAGUCGGAUGUGAAAUCUCGGAGCUCAACUCCGAAAUGGCAUUGGAAACUACCCUGCUAGAGGGUCGGAGGGGGGACUGGAAUACUUGGGUGUAGCAGUGAAAUGCGUAGAUAUCAAGAGGAACACCUGAGGUGAAGACGGGUUGCUGGGCCAACACUGACGCUGAGGCGCGAAAGCCAGGGGAGCAAACGGG
rnacentral:rRNA from 1 species